GCCCGGAUAGCCUUGUGGUUGAGGUUUUUGACUCACAUUCAUUCAACCUGGGUUCGAGUCCCAGUGAGGGGCU
rnacentral:tRNA from 1 species